rnacentral:tRNA from 1 species
GCCUUCAUGGUUUAACGGUAGAACACUCGAUGCGCAUUCGAGAGGUCCAGGUUUGAGUCCCUGCGAAGGCU